UAGAACUUGUGGGAUAGGGGAUGAUCUUGUCGACCGUUUCUCGGUCCCCUGCUCCGUUGAGCUGGCAAGGCGCCUAUAGGUUCUA
rfam:Pea enation mosaic virus-2 strain ID RNA-dependent RNA-polymerase, 33 kDa protein, long-distance movement protein, and cell-to-cell movement protein genes, complete cds.